rnacentral:rRNA from 1 species
CUAAUACCGCAUAAGCGCACAGUACCGCAUGGUACCGUGUGAAAAACUCCGGUGGUAUAAGAUGGACCCGCGUCUGAUUAGCUAGUUGGUGAGAUAACAGCCCACCAAGGCGACGAUCAGUAGCCGACCUGAGAGGGUGACCGGCCACAUUGGGACUGAGACACGGCCCAAACUCCUACGGGAGGCAGCAUG